rnacentral:rRNA from 1 species
AUUGAACGCUGGCGGAAUGCUUUACACAUGCAAGUCGAGCGGCAGCGCGGGGCAACCUGGCGGCGAGCGGCGAACGGGUGAGUAACACAUCGGAACGUGCCCAGACGUGGGGGAUAGCCCGGCGAAAGCCGGAUUAAUACCGCAUACGAUCUAAGGAUGAAAGCGGGGGACUCGCAAGGGCCUCGCGCGUUUGGAGCGGCCGAUGGCAGAUUAGGUAGUUGGUGGGGUAAAGGCUUACCAAGCCUGCGAUCUGUAGCUGGUCUGAGAGGAUGAUCAGCCACACUGGACUGAGACACGGCCCAGACUCCUACGGGAGGCAGCAGUGGGGAAUAUUGGACAAUGGGCGGAAGCCUGAUCCAGCAAACGCCGCGUGAGGGAUGACGGCCUUCGGUUGUAAAGCUCUGUCUUGGGUACGAAGGAGAUGAGGUACCCGAAGGAGGAAGACCCCGGCCGUAACGUACGUAGGCCACGCAGCCGCCGGUAAGUAAUAGCGUACU